GAUGAACGCUGGCGGCGUGCCUAAUACAUGCAAGUCGAGCGAAUGGAUUAAGAGCUUGCUCUUAUGAAGUUAGCGGCGGACGGGUGAGUAACACGUGGGUAACCUGCCCAUAAGACUGGGAUAACUCCGGGAAACCGGGGCUAAUACCGGAUAACAUUUUGAGCCGCAUGGUUCGAAAUUGAAAGGCGGCUUCGGCUGUCACUUAUGGAUGGACCCGCGUCGCAUUAGCCAGUUGGGGAGGUAACGGCUCACCAAGGCAACGAUGCGUAGCCGACCUGAGAGGGUGAUCGGCCACACUGGGACUGAGACACGGCCCAGACUCCUACGGGAGGCAGCAGUAGGGAAUCUUCCGCAAUGGACGAAAGUCUGACGGAGCAACGCCGCGUGAGUGAUGAAGGCUUUCGGGUCGUAAAACUCUGUUGUUAGGGAAGAACAAGUGCUAGUUGAAUAAGCUGGCACCUUGACGGUACCUAACCAGAAAGCCACGGCUAACUACGUGCCAGCCGCCGCGGUAA
rnacentral:rRNA from 1 species